ACAGCGUGGAAGAGAAAGGAGAAUGAGAGGACUGAGAGGAAGGAAAGUGAAGGAGUUUUUAAGCACACAAAUGACAGCGUCUGAUCUACGUUUUCGAAAGGAGUAUCCAGACAGAAAGAUGUUCAUCCUGUCCCAGUCUUUCCUCAUCCACCAUCUUUUGGUUCUCUGGCUGCUUCAAGAGUUAGCAGAAUGAACUACGGCAGCGCCCUGGCCCGGGCCGGAGGAGGACGUCCGCAAAGUUCCAGCCUGUCUGUGUCCCGCACGUUUCCGGGACCCCCUCCCCCUGUCCACGGUGCCAGGAUGCACAAGCCAGAGGCGCUCCUCCAGGAUAGGAUCCAGGGACCGCUCCCACGCGCGGCCGAGCCACCCCACCUCCCCGAGCCCUCCCGACGGCGGCAGGCGCGAACGCUUACCGAGCCCGGCGCUGGGCGGGACCGCGGGGGACGCGCACGGCAGCUCCGCCUCAGGACCGCGGCGGCGUCUCGGCCCGCCGCUCCCCUCAGGGCCGCCGCCCGGUCCGCUGCUCGAAGCCCCGCGGCGGCGGCGGCGGCCUCGCCUCCAUGGCGAGGAGAAGCGGCAGAGAGAGGACUGGGCUGGAGGCUGCGAUGGCGGCGUGGUCCAGGGGUCUGUGCAAGAUGCCCCCGCGAGUCCCUGUCAGCGCCUCACUCGCCGCAGCCUCUCUCCCGUCGCGGCCUGGGCUGUAAGGCGCUUCGUCAUUGGCCGUUGAGAGGCGGGCGCUGGUUCGCUGACGCCGGGCGGGCGUCUCCGCCUCCGUGAGCCCCACCCCUGCGCGCCCCGCUGCGCCGCGGAGUUCCCCGGGCGCACUGGGGGUCUCCGGGUAACAGGACAGGACGCUCCCUAUCCUCCCCUGGCACACGUCUCCCACCUAGUCACGGUCCUAGGCCCCCGGGCAUGGGCUUUUUUCCUUGUUUACAGAUGAGGAAACUGACACCAGGCACAAGCCACACCAACUGGUGAACUCAGGCACUCGAAAGCCAUCUCCAUCCUUCUCCAAAUGUGAUCCUCUCUCUAACACACCCCGCGCCUCUGCCUCUGCCUCUGCCUCUCUCGCGCUCUCGCUCUCUCUCUCUCUCUCUCUCUCUCUCUCUCUCUCUGUCACACACACACACACACACACACACACACGAGAGAGAGAGAGAGAGAGAGAGAGAGUUAGUUGUAAGGCACUUAAAGGAUGUAAUUGCGAGAAGAAUUUGCCUAGUACCUAGGACCGGUCUAGCUCUGAGUAUGUCAUCUUAAAUAAACCAGCCCACAUCAUCCCCACCCGAACCCUAGGGAAAUCUCUCUUGCUUUCCAGAUGUGCAAGCUGGGCCUGAUUCUCUAGAGCUGGAUGGAAGCACAGCACACGGUGCUCCGCAGCGAGCGGGGAGAUACUUCUUGAUACAUGCAUAGUGGUCAGGAGAAGAUUGAAAGCGCUGAGAGAGACCAGGGAAGCGAACAGCGUUCUUUGUGCAUCUAGCUUCUAGGAACCAUAAGUCGAUUUUUUCGGAAGGUAGCAGUCCUCAGUUUAGAGCACUUUGGAUGCUGCUAGACCUAGGGCGCCAAGUUAGAACUCUAUGCAAACACCCUUCCUUUAUUUGUUGAAUAAGUAAGUGUGCGCAGACCAGAGCCAGGACCUGCAAAUGUGCGUUGAAGCGGGCCUUCUUUAAACUUCCUCCCUCUGGGUAGUAAAAACCUCUCCUUGAGUUAAGAUUUGUGACUCUUGAUCUCCCUCCUCAGGGCCAUCUCAGUGACAGUCUACAAGACCUCUAUCCUGUCUCCUAAAUGUCAGACUCCUGCCAAUGAGGUCCGCUCCUCCUACAAGUUCCAGAAGCCCAUUUCCUAGAAAGUACAAAGUCUAUCAGGGAUGCAAAUACACAGCAAAUUGAAAAGUGACCAAAUGAAAAGUUGGGUCUUUCACUAGAACACAAUACUUUACAAAACAAGACCAACACAGAACAAAACAAAUCUGAAAAAUACUGGUUCUUGGCUAAGAAAGCAGCCUCUUGGCUUUAGAGCAAACCCUACCAGCAAACUUUUUUUCUUUUCUUUCUUUUUCUUUCUUUCGGUUUUUUGUUUGUUUGUUUGUUUGUUUGUUUUGUUUUGGGGUUUUUUGUUUUUUUAAUUUUUUUGAAAUUUUUCUUAUUUACAGUUAACCUAUGACUCCUGGUCCUUUUCAGAGCUCCCUACCCCAUUAGCACAAUCAAGAGCCAUCUUGGAAGAAAAAUAAAAUAGAAAAAAAGGAACCAAGAGAAAGAUAAGUGGGAGCUCCCUGUUCUCUGCUGCAUUGGUGCCUGCAGGUAAGAACUGGAAUAGCAGGGCUGAAGGAUAGGAUUAAAGGAGCCCCAUUUCCCCUCAAAAGUCCAAGUCACUUCCCCUCCCUGCCUACCUUUCUGUCUAGUAAAUGAAGCAAUGAGUUGUUCUCUAUGUCCUGAAUGCAGAUCAUGCACUGGACACCUCUCAGAGUAAGUCAGAGAUGUCAACUCUCAGGAGCAAACAUUCUGGGGUGGACAUGGGUAAUAGACUAACAAGAAUGUUCACUAAAGUGCCAAGGUGAAAAUGAAGCCAAGAAAUACGAAAAUUGAAAUAAAUGAAAACCAAGCACCUUCCCAGGCUACUUACUGCCCAUCUUCUGAGGGUCAUUUGCUGAAGUUCUGUAACUAAGACCAGGCAGGCUCUCUGACCUCAUCUACUCUAUGGCCACCAUGGGUAACUUAAUCUAGAAGCUCUUCCAUACUUGGCCCCAAGCUUAAAUCCUAACCCAAACCCUUAGAUAGGACUUGAUCCAAUCCCAGACCACUGACACAGGCCUGCUUGUACAAUUCUCAAGGAGGAAGAUAUUUUAUACUAAUUUUAGUUGUGCAAGUAAGAACUUGAAACAACAACAGCUCUGCUUUUGACUUUUAUUUUGCAGGGAUGAAGACCUUGGGGGCUCAUACAAAUUUAGCAAGUAUUCUGUUUUAGUUAGCCCCCAAGAACCCAAUCCUAAUUUUUAGAUAUGAAUAUUUAUAAGUGAAAACUUGUGAAAACUCAGUAAAUGUGCCCUUUAAUAUCUAUAAAUUUCCUGAAAUGAGUAAGUAGAUACAAAGUCUUAUUUCCAACAAAGAAGCUAUUUGCAAUUGACUAGUGCUGGGAAAGGGAAAAUUAGUUCUUUUAAUUAAAGUGUCACUGGGUAUAAUCAAUCACA
rnacentral:lncRNA from 1 species